rnacentral:rRNA from 1 species
GCGCGAAAACUUUACAAUGCGGGAAACCGUGAUAAGGGAACUCCGAGUGCCCGUAAAAUCGGGCUGUCCAUCUGUGUAAAUAACAGGUGAAGAAAGGGCCGGGCAAGACCGGUGCCAGCCGCCGCGGUAAUACCGGCGGCUCGAGUGGUGGCCACUAUUACUGGGCUUAAAGCGUUCGUAGCUGGUCUGUUAAGUCUCUGGGGAAAUCUACUGGCUUAACCAAUAGGCGUCUCAGGGAUACUGGCAGACUAGGGACCGGGAGAGGUGAGAGGUACUCCAGGGGUAGGAGUGAAAUCCUGUAAUCCUUGAAGGACCACCAGUGGCGAAGGCGUCUCACCAGAACGGACCUGACGGCAAGGGACGAAAGCUAGGGGCACGAACCGGAUUAGAUACCCGGGUAGUCCUAGCCGUAAACGAUACUCGCUAGGUGUCGGCAACGGUGCGACCGUUGUCGGUGCCGUAGGGAAGCCGUGAAGCGAGCCACCUGGGAAGUACGGCCGCAAGGCUGAAACUUAAAGGAAUUGGCGGGGGAGCGACCACGAACGGGUGAGCUUGCGGUUU